GACAGAGGGUGCAAACGUUGCUCGGAAUCACUGGGCGUAAAGGGCGCGUAGGCGGGAAUGUAAGUCGGGCGUGAAAUCCCCAGGCUCAACCUGGGAACUGCACUCGAAACUGCGUUUCUUGAGUAUCGGAGAGGAAAGCGGAAUUCCUGGUGUAGAGGUGAAAUUCGUAGAUAUCAGGAGGAACACCAGUGGCGAAGGGCGGCUUUCUGGACGGUAAC
rnacentral:rRNA from 1 species